CAGGCUGCAACUCGCCUGCAUGAAGUCGGAAUUGCUAGUAAUCGCGGAUCAGCAUGCCGCGGUGAAUACGUUCCCGGGCCUUGUACACACCGCCCGUCAAACCAUGAGAGUUGGCAACACCCGAAGUCGGUAGUCUAACCGCAAGGAGGACGCCGCCGAAGGUGGGGUUGAUGAUUAGGGUUAAGUCGUAACAAGGUAGC
rnacentral:rRNA from 1 species